ensembl:lncRNA
AUCCAGCGGAUACAACAAAACAACUUCUAAAACAGCAUCGUGAAUUACUAGGUUUUAUUCAUUUUUGUCUGUCAGAAGCUGAAUGGACUAGCAAACUGAUGAAAGAAGACACUCGUGGAUUAGGAAUCAAUAUAAAGCUUUAAUAAUCCAUGAGAUAGUAAGUGUAGCAUCCCACGACUGCCACUGGACCAGUGCCACCCACCCAGCAUCCACUAAGCUCUCGCUGUGCGCCAGGUGCCACACUGGGCACUGGGAUGCAGAGGCAGACCCGAGCGACACGCCACCCCGUGCCCAACAAGGACCUAAAACACAGCGGAUUAGUUAAAUAUUGCACAGGAUUGAAAUGGAAACCUGGAGAGGUUGAUGGCCCCUGUGCUCACACAACCAACUGAAAAUCCCGGGCAGCUACAACAAGGCUGAAUUCUAUCCAUCAGAAGUGAACGAGACAGAAGAGUUAACUUCCUGCAUCAUUUUCACCCCUAGGUGAUGAAGACUGACCAGUUAGACUGGUCACUGGCGUCCACCAUAAAGAUGGCCACAACAAAUACAACCAGCCCCACUAUAGAUAAUUUGAUGGAAAACGACCACCACUGGCAACACGAGACUGGAAGUACAGACACUUGGAUUUAGGCUCCUGCCAAUGACACGGAAUACGAUCUCAAGUUACUCACUUGGCCUUUCCGAGCCCCAGUCUCCACUUCUGUCAAUUGUAGUUGGGAGGCCUGCUUGCACUACUCAGAGGGAAGAAUGAAAAGGGACAUAAAUCAGGAGGAAGGACGAAUGGAAUCUGAGGUGUUCGGGGGCAGAAGACGGGAGUUUGCUUCAGAAACUCGAAUGAAAUAGAAUCUGACAUAGAUCUUCUGAAUCCGACAAUCUGGGCUUGCAGCUUGGCCGUGCCCCACGGCUUCAGACAACCUCCUCCAACGCUGAGCGCACACUUGUUCAAAACUGACCAUGUGCCCGACGCUGAACAGAGCGUCUGCUGUGGUGAACGUCCCAGGUGGAGUGCCUGCCCUCGUGUGGGCUCAGUGGUAAAUAACUGAAGAAAUAAAGCCCCGAAGGGAAUGGGUACGUACCCUUUAGAGAGGGUGGCAAGGAAGACCUCUCUGAGAAGGUGUCAUUUGAGCUGAGACCCAAAUGAAGCAGAUUCUUUCCCCUCUGAGCUUUAGUUUUCUCAUCCAUACAAUGAAAGACAACAAAGGUCCACCUCCCAGGGUUUUAAAAAUAGGAUCAGAGAGUAUAUGGUCUUAGCAAACCACAUUCACUAGUCAAACUGAGAUACUAUUACUUUUACUGUUACUCUUCAUUUUCUCUUUGGAAAUGUCACCUUGGGCAUUUUUGAAGGCUGGGUGGAGAAAGGAGAAGAUUAUAGAAAAUGGUAAAGAGCAUAAAAAAGAAGCUUAACUUGCUUCAUAAUUUAGUAUAGAGCAUCUGUCGUACUUAUUCACGCUUUUUCAUAAUCCAGUCUUUAAAUUACAAUUCUGCAACAAUUCAUUUUUUGAAGGUAACAUUUUCCCCCAAAUUUAAAAAUAAUCUUUAUUGAGGUAUAAUUUACACACAAUAAAAUGCACCUACUGUGUGCAUACAGUCAAUGCAUUUUGACAAAUGAAUACACCUGUGCCACCAGUGCCACAAACGAGACACGCACAUUUCUACCGUCACGUGUGUCCCUUCUCAUUCACUCCUCUGCACCCCUUGUCCCUGGGCAGCUGCUGAUCUGCCUUCUGGCACUAUAGACUUGUUUGCCAUUUCUAGAAUUUUGCAUAGAUGGAAGCAUACGGUGUGUGAUCUUUUGAGUCUGGUUUCUUUUACUCAGCAUGAUGAUUUCAAGAUUCUUCUAUGUUGUUGCAUGCGUCCAAAGUUCAUUUCGUUUUAUUGCUGAACAGUGUUCCAUUGCAAGGAUUUAGAACAAUCUGUUUAUUUAGUCACUCAUUGAUGGGCAUGUGGGUUUUCUCUGGUUGUGGGCUUUUAUUAAUAAAGUUCCUAUCAAUAUUCACAUA